AUUGAACGCUGGCGGCAUGCCUUACACAUGCAAGUCGAACGGCAGCACGGGUGCUUGCGCCUGGUGGCGAGUGGCGAUCGGGUGAGUAAUAUAUCGGAACGUACCUUAUUGUGGGGGAUAACGCAGCGAAAGCUGUGCUAAUACCGCAUAAUCCCUUAGGGGGAAAGCGGGGGACCGUAAGGCCUCGCGCAAUUAGAGCGGCCGAUACCUGAUUAGCUAGUUGGUGAGGUAAAGGCUCACCAAGGCGACGAUCAGUAGCUGGUAUGAGAGGACGAUCAUCCACACUGGGACUGAGACACGGCCCAGACUCCUACGGGAGGCAGCAGUGGGGAAUUUUGGACAAUGGGGGCAACCCUGAUCCAGCAAUGCCGCGUGAAUGAAGAAGGCCUUCGGGUUGUAAAGCUCUUUUGUCAGGGAAGAAACAGCAGCUCUAACACAGUAUGCGAAUGACGGUACCUGAAGAAUAAGCACCGGCUAACUACGUGCCAGCAGCCGCAGUAA
rnacentral:rRNA from 1 species